AUGAAGAGAAACCUCCUCAUCAUCCUCAUCAUCACAUCAGGUGUGUUUGGUGCUGAUGAAAUCAGACCAUCAAAAGAUCAGGAGACUGAUGUUUCUGGAAAAGAAGGAGAACCUGUUACACUGAAAUGCUCUUAUGACUCAAAUAGUCAAUAUGUUAUACUCUACUGGUACAGACAGUAUCCUAACAGAGCUCUACAGUAUCUACUGCUGAGAGGUGCUCGUCAGCGGAGUGACAGUAAUAUUGCCGACCACAGAUUUUCAUCAACUACAUCCAGCUCUUCCACUGAGCUCACUCUUAGAGAACCAAGACUGGCAGAUACAGCUCUCUACUACUGUGCUCUUAGAGAUGUUAGAGCCCAGUGAUACAAAGUCUCUGAGACGCUUUACAAAAACUCACACACCUUCUGUUUGCUUUGAACACAAAGAGAUCAAAGUAACAUCCAAACCACAAUAUAUUAUCUGUUUUUAUUCUCUCUCUGAAACCACCAAGGUUAAAUUUCUGAGGUAAAAAAAGUGAAAGCAUGUGUGGCAGACACAGGAUAUAGUUUCAGCUGCGCUGUCUGACAACAAACGCAGCAAGAAACUAACACAGUAAAUGUACACGGUGCCCAUCGUCAUGAAAUCCGUUCACAUGAAGUCACUGGAGACGCGCUUGAGAUUCAUAGAAAUACCAGCUGUAAAUGACUUCACAUCUCACUGUCCACUUAUAAUCAGAUAGAUGUUAAUACCCUGUGAACUGUGGGAUAAUGUUGAGUAUUCCAGUGAUUUAACUAUUAACAUCAGAGGCCAGUGAAGAAUAUGACACUGCUGUAAAAUUCAUUGACCACACCCUAACAGUGGAGUGAGGAGGAUCAUCAGUUAGCCAGUCUAUGAAGAUACAAACCACCUGACAGAAUUUUCUGUUCUAGACUGUGUGAUUUCGGCUCUAUUGGUCAGUACAUGUUCUCUGAACUAGAGUAUCAUGAUACUAUACUGUUCUAAGACAAACCAAUGUUACUGUUAAAAUACAGGUCAAUUUGAAACAAAACCUCAUGGAAAUGAUGUUAUAGCCUAAUUUAGUAACAUAGGGAAAAGAUUCCAAUUCAUCCAUGCUUCUAUUUUUAUUUAGGAACACAAAUCCACAAAUCUAUUCUCCUAGAAAGGUUAGAAAACAUGGUUGGAGUCACAGG